rnacentral:rRNA from 1 species
CCCUUAGAUGUUCUGGGCCGCACGCGCGCUACACUGAUGCAUUCAACGAGUCUAAAACCUGGUCUGAUAGGGCUGGGUAAUCUUUUGAAUGUGCAUCGUGAUUGGGAUAGAUGAUUGCAAUUCUUCAUCUUCAACGAGGAAUGCUUAGUAAACGCAAGUCAUCAGCUUGCAUUGAUUACGUCCCUGCCCUUUGUACACACCGCCCGUCGCUCCUACCGAUUGAAUGUUCCGAUGAAUACCAUGGACUGAGAGUAUGAAUGGGUUCGCCUAUUUCUGCUUCUCGGGAAGUGGAGUAAAUCUUAACAUUUAGAGGAAGGAGAAGUCGUAACA